CCAUUUUCUUUUCAUAGAAUGUCUCCUCAGAAGUAGAAUGCUUAACCUACCACUUAGCACCCUGAGAGUCUCUGGGCUCCAUAACCCUCUGGGGCCUUCAGUCAAGACUGGUACCAAAGAACUUUUAAACCAAAGUUGGGAAACUUAAGCCUAAUUCCUUGUACAAUAGUUCUAUAAUCUUUGGACCCUGCCCAGAUGCAGAACUCUCCUACUCACUUGUACUUUCGUCCCUGGUCCCCUCAAAUGAUGCCUCACACAGAAACUCUUUUUUCUUUUGAGGAAGGCUGGCCCUGAGCUAACAUCCAUCCCCAUCGUCCUCUACUUUCUAUGUGGGACGCCUACCACAGCAUGGCUUGACAAGCGGUGCCACAUCUGCACCCGGGAUACGAAGCGGCGAACCUCGGCUGCCGAAGCGGAAGACUCAUUGUGACCUCAGUCUUCAGGAUUCAAAUGGACCAACAGAGAACGCAGCUCAGACAGAAAAGAAAAAAGUACAAAAUUCAAGAAGAUCGGAGAUGAAGAAAAGGUACAAAAUUAUAUAUAUAUUUAUAUAUAUAAUAACAUGACAUAUCUAUGUACAACACAGCUGGGACAGUUGAGGAAACUAUACAAGGAUGUUCGGCAUUUUCCCCUUCCCACAUGGACUUUAGACUAAGGAAGACAGCAUGAGGAAAUGGAGCAA